rnacentral:rRNA from 1 species
AAGUCGAACGGAUUUUACAGGUGCUUGCACUUCUAAAGUUAGUGGCAGACGGGUGAGUAAUACAUGGGAAUUUUCCUUGUAGUACGGAAUAACUGAUGGAAAUAUCAGCUAAUACCGUAUAUUGCCGAGAGGUGAAAGAUUUAUCGCUACAAGAUAAGCCCAUGCAAGAUUAGCUAGUUGGUGAGGUAACUGCUCACCAAGGCUACGAUCUUUAGCUGGUUUGAGAGGAUGAUCAGCCACACUGGAACUUAGACACGGUCCAGACUCCUACGGGAGGCAGCAGUGGGGAAUUUUGGACAAUGGGCGAAAGCCUGAUCCAGCGACGUCACGUGAAUGAUGAAGACCUUAGGGUUGUAAAAUUCUUUUAGUGGAGAAGAUAAUGACGGUAUCCACAGAAAAAGUCCCGGCUAACUUCGUGCCAGCAGCCGCGGUAAUACGAAGGGGGCAAGCGUUACUCGGAAUUAUUGGGCGUAAAGCGUGCGCAGGCGGCUUUAUAAGUUGGAAGUGAAAGCCUUUGGCUCAACCAAAGAAUUGCUUUCAAAACUAUAAGGCUAGAGUCUUAGAGAGGAUAGAGGAAUUUCUGAUGUAGGGGUGAAAUCCGUAGAUA